GACGAACGCUGGCGGCGUGCUUAACACAUGCAAGUCGAGCGGUAAGGCCCUUCGGGGUACACGAGCGGCGAACGGGUGAGUAACACGUGAGCAAUCUGCCCUUCUCUUUGGAAUAACCAUUGGAAACGAUGGCUAAUGCCGAAUAUGAACCCCUUUCGCAUGUUGGGGGUUGGAAAGCUCCGGCGGAGAAGGAUGAGCUCGCGGCCUAUCAGCUUGUUGGUGAGGUAAUGGCUCACCAAGGCAUUGACGGGUAGCCGGCCUGAGAGGGUGACCGGCCACACUGGGACUGAGACACGGCCCAGACUCCUACGGGAGGCAGCAGUGGGGAAUAUUGGACAAUGGGCGAAAGCCUGAUCCAGCAACGCCGCGUGAGGGAUGACGGCCUUCGGGUUGUAAACCUCUUUCAGCAGGGACGAAGCGAGAGUGACGGUACCUGCAGAAGAAGGACCGGCCAACUACGUGC
rnacentral:rRNA from 1 species